UACAGAGGGUGCGAGCGUUAGUCGGAAUUACUGGGCGUAAAGCGCGCGUAGGCGGCUUUGCAAGUCGGGUGUGAAAUCCCCAGGCUUGACCUGGGAACUGCAUUCGAGACUGCAUUGCUAGAGUAUGGGAGAGGGAAGUGGAAUUUCCGGUGUAGCGGUGAAAUGCGUAGAUAUCGGAAGGAACAUCAGUGGCGAAAGCGACUUCCUGGACCAAUACUGACGCUCAUGUGCGAAAGCGUGGGGGGCAAACAGG
rnacentral:rRNA from 1 species